GCACUCAUUGGCUCAGUUGGUAGAGCAUUGUGCUAACAACGCAAAGGUCAUGGGUUCAAAUUCCAAGCAAAGCA